ensembl:lncRNA
AUGUUGAGCUCUGCGAGCAUGAAAAAGAAACACUCGCGAGAAACGUGCGGGCGGGAAACCUCACCUACCUGUGUUACAGAGCUGGAUCUGGAGCUGGGAGACUUGCUGCAGGAGUUUAAUGAUGUAGUGAAGGAGCUGAGCACACCCCAGACCUCUGAACAUGUGCUGAGAGAUGUGAAGAGACACACAGCACUGACUGAAGGAGACGAUUCAGACUACUGUAGCGAGGCUUCGCUGGUAAACAGCUUGAAUGCCAGUCAAGAGGAGCUCAACAUCCCAAGCAUAACCGCAGCCCCAAAAGCCAGGCUCGGGGACACCAGUGACCUACAGAGCUUCAUUGAAAACCUGGAUAGAGAGCUUGCAGAGAUGUGAGAUGACGGGACGCACGUGAUCAGGGAGGACUGAGCACCUGAAGAGCUGCCAUUUAGCAAACCGUAAUCUCUGCGUCCACACAUAGAAAUUAUGCUGAAGUAAAUCACAGCUUGAAGGCUUCACCCCCCCCCCCUUCACUAAGAAAAAAGAGCUCACAAAUUCAUCAAGAAGACAAGAAGAACUACUGUUUGGAAGAACCACCAAGUUUCUCAAAAGAAGUUUUAUUUAAUGAAAUACUUACAACAUUUAUAUGAAAAACACAAUUCCUUGUAAGUUGUGAAGAUUUAUUGUUAAUAGCUAUUUUCACUUUUUUUUAUAUAUAAGAAUGUAAAAAUAUCAGUGCUACCAGGUUCAACAUAAUGUGUAAUAUUAAUUUCACCUUGUAAAGAUUUUUUAAUAAUAAAGGUUUUUGCAUUAAACA